GGGCCCGUAGCUUAGCAUGGCUAGAGCGCCCGGCUGAUAUCUCCGGCAGAGACCGGGAGGUCGAGGGUUCAAAUCCCUCCGGGCCCA
rnacentral:tRNA from 1 species